GGGAAUAUUGCGCAAUGGGGGAAACCCUGACGCAGCGACGCCGUGUGAGGGAAGAAGGCUUUCGGGUCGUAAACCUCUGUCAGGAAGGAAGAACCUCUCAAGGCUGAACAAGCCUUGGGACUGACGGUACUUCCAGAGGAAGCACCGGCUAACUCCGCGCCAGCAGCCGCGGUAAUACGGAGGGUGCAAGCGUUAAUCGGAAUCACUGGGCGUAAAGCGCGCGUAGGCCGUCUUUUAAGUCGGACGUGAAAGCCCUCGGCUCAACCGGGGAACUGCGUUCGAUACUGUGAGACUUGAGUCCUGGAGAGGGUGGCGGAAUUCCGGGUGUAGGAGUGAAAUCCGUAGAUAUCCGGAGGAACACCGGUGGCGAAUGCGGCCACCUGGACAGGUACUGACGCUGAGGCGCGAAAGCGUGGGGAGCAAACA
rnacentral:rRNA from 1 species